AUGGUAGUCCCAGCUCAGCUUCUCUGCCUCCUGUUACUCUGGCUCCCAGAUACCACUGGAGAAAUCAAGAUGACACAGUCUCCAGCCUCUGUCUUUGUCUCCAGGAGAAAAAGCCUCUCUCAGCUGCAGAGCCAGUCAGAGUGUUGGCAGCUCCUUAGCCUGGUACCAACAAAAACCUGGGCAGGUUCCCAGAGUCCUCUUGUAUGGUGCAUCCAACAGGGUUGUUGGCAUCCCAGACCGGUUCAGUGGCAGUGAGUCUGCGACAGACUUCACCCUCUCCAUCAGCAGCCUGGAGCAUGAAGAUGUUGCAGUUUAUUACUGUCAGCGGUAUAGUGACAGGUACGCACAGUGA